CCGGGGCCGCACGCGCGCUACAUUGAAGGACUCAGCGUGUACUCUCCCUGCCCGACAGGGCCGGGUAACCCGUUGAAACUCCUUCGUGCUGGGGAUAGGCGACUGUAAUUACCGCCUUGAACGAGGAAUUCCCAGUAAGCGCGAGUCAUCAGCUCGUGCUGAUUACGUCCCUGGCCUUUGUCCACACCGCCCGUCGCUACAACCGAUUGAAUGAUUUAGUGAGGUCUUCGGACUGGCUCUCGGACUGGCCUCCGGGUCGGGCCGGCGUGCCGGAAAGAUGACCAAACUUGAUUAUUUAGAGGAUGUAAAAGUCGUAACAAGGUUGUC
rnacentral:rRNA from 1 species